rnacentral:rRNA from 1 species
GUGAGGAAUAUUGGACAAUGGGCGCAAGCCUGAUCCAGCCAUGCCGCGUGCAGGAAGACGCAUCUAUGGUGUGUAAACUGCUUUUGUACGGGAAGAAACACUCCCUCGUGAGGGAGCUUGACGGUACCGUAAGAAUAAGGAUCGGCUAACUCCGUGCCAGCAGCCGCGGUAAUACGGAGGAUCCAAGCGUUAUCCGGAAUCAUUGGGUUUAAGGGGUCCGUAGGCGGUUUAAUAAGUCAGUGGUGAAAGCCCAUCGCUCAACGAUGGAACGGCCAUUGAUACUGAUAGACUUGAAUUACAAGGAAGUAACUAGAAUAUGUAGUGUAGCGGUGAAAUGCUUAGAUAUUACAUGGAAUACCAAUUGCGAAGGCAGGUUACUACUUGUGGAUUGACGCUGAUGGACGAAAGCGUGGGGAGCGAACAGGAUUAGAAACCCGGUAGUCC